CACAACACUCUUCACAACAAAAAGCCUUGGAGAACUGUAAUGCACAAAUGUUAGUUAUCAAGUGGGGCCUCGGUUUCCUUCAGUGGUUUGCCCAGGGUCACAUGGCUAGUUGGCAUAGGGCC